rnacentral:rRNA from 1 species
GAACGCUGGCGGCGUGCCUAACACAUGCAAGUCGAACGAGAAAGCGGGCUUCGGCCCGUGAGUAAAGUGGCAGACGGGUGAGUAACACGUGGGUAACCUGCCCGGAGUCGGGGGAUAACCCUCCGAAAGGAGGGCUAAUACCGCAUGAUAUCUCGAGCUCCUCGGCGCACGAGAUCAAAGCUGGCCUCUACAUGUAAGCCAGUGCCACCGGAGGGGCCCGCGCCCCAUUAGCUUGAUGGUGAGGUAACGGCUCACCAUGGCUACGAUGGGUAGCCGGCCUGAGAGGGUGAUCGGCCACACUGGAACUGAGACACGGUCCAGACUCCUACGGGAGGCAGCAGUGAGGAAUUUUGCGCAAUGGGCGAAAGCCUGACGCAGCGACGCCGCGUGGAGGAAGAAGGUCUUCGGAUCGUAAACUCCUGUCAAGAGGGAAGAAUGCCGGCGGGAUGAAUAAGCCCGACGGUUGACGGUACCUCUGGAGGAAGCCCCGGCUAACUCCGUG